UCUCCGUUGGUGAACCAGCGGAGGGAUCAUUACUGAGUGAGGGCCUUCGGGCUCGACCUCCAACCCUUUGUGAACACAACUUGUUGCUUCGGGGGCGACCCUGCCGUCCGCGGCUGAGCGCCCCCGGAGCCCAUCAAACCCUGCGUAACUAAGUCGUCGGAGUUUAAACAAAUUAAACAAAACUUUCAACAACGGAUCUCUUGGUUCGGGCAUCGAUGAAGAACGCAGC
rnacentral:misc_RNA from 1 species